AUUGAACGCUGGCGGCAGGCUUAACACAUGCAAGUCGAGCGGGGGAGGUUGCUUCGGUAACUGACCUCGCGGCGGACGGGUGAGUAAUGCUUAGGAAUCUGCCAUUUAGUGGGGGACAACAUUCCGAAAGGAAUGCUACUACCGCAUACGUCCUACGAGAGAAAGCAGGGGAUCUUCGGACCUUGCGCUAAAUGAUGAGCCUACGUCGGAUUAGCUAGUUGGUGGGGUAAAGGCCUACCAAGGCGACGAUCUGUAGCGGGUCUGAGCGGAUGAUCCGCCACACUGGGACUGAGACACGGCCCAGGCUCCUACGGGAGGCAGCAGUGGGGAAUAUUGGACAAUGGGCGGAAGCCUGAUCCAGCCAUGCCGCGUGUGUGAAGAAGGCCUUAUGGUUGUAAAGCACUUUAAGCGAGGAGGAGGCUACCUAGAUUAAUACUCUAGGAUAGUGGACGUUACUCGCAGAAUAAGCACCGGCUAACUCUGUGCCAGCCGCCGCCGUAAAAC
rnacentral:rRNA from 1 species